rnacentral:misc_RNA from 1 species
UUUCCGUAGGUGAACCUGCGGAAGGAUCAUUAGCAAAUUAUUGGGGGGAGGAGUGUGGGGGGAGUUGUGGAUGGGUGGGUGUUGGGAGAUUGAUAUUGGUAUUGGUAUUGAUAUUGGUAUUGAUAUUGAUAUUGGUAUUGGUAUUGAUAUUGGUAUUGAUAUUGAUAUUGGUAUUGAUAUUGAUAUUGGUAUUGAUAUUGGUAUUGAUUGCGUUAUGGCAGCGAUGCACUGAUGCAGUCAGUUCCUAGUCCUAGCAUCCAUUCAUACAUGGCUCCUCACUACGCUACCUAACCAUCCACAUUGACUCGGACUGGUUGCUUAGCUGCAAUGGGUAGUAUUUUAGAUUCUAUUACAGCACGCUAGUACCCAUGUCCUGAGCACAUUCACGAUUGUAGUGUUUGACCGAAUAUAUAGCCACUAGAAAGACAACUUUUAACAAUGGAUCUCUUGGCUCUU